AUUUAUUAAUAUAAGAAAGCAAAUCCGCUGAACUUAAGCAUAUUAUUAAGCGGAAGAAAAGAAAAUAACAAUGAUUCUUUUAGUAACGGCGAGUGAACAAAGAAAAGCUCAACAUGGAAAAUCCGACAGAUAGCUACCCGCGAUUUGUCGGAAUUGUCAAGUUGAAAAACAUUCCAAGAGUUCUUUUUUAUAAUAUGACAAUGAGAAGAAGUAGAUAGAAAUGUCUCUCCUUAGAGGGUGAAAGACCCGUAUUCUUAAUCAUAAAACUGAUCAAUUGGAAUGUUUUGUUUUUGAGUCGUGUUCUUUGAGACUGGAGCACUAAUUAGUGUGAUACAUUUCACAUAAAGCUAAAUAUUUGUAAGAAACCGAUAGUAAACAAGUACCGUGAGGGAAAGAUGAAAUAGUACUCAGGAAUGAGCAAUUAAAUAGUACCUGAAAUCGUUAAGAUGGAACGGAUUAAAAAAGGAAAAAAGUAACAACAUAGUUAAAAUGAGAGAUUUUGGUGCGCGCAAUAAAGAAUGGAGUCCUUAAAAAAGGAUGUAGAUAUUCAAGUAUCAAAACAAAAUUUUUCUUUUUUUAAAAAGAAAUUUUUUGAAGCUUUUGUUAUAAUAUUCAUUUUUAUUCUUAUCCUUUUUUUUAGGUAAGAUAAAAAUGAUACAAAAGUUGUCUUUCAUACUAUAUAUAUAUAUAUAUAUAUAUAAAUAUUAUGUUCUUAUUAAAAGAAACAUGAGUGAAUGAAAAUAAAUAAUCGUGGAGCAAAAAUAAACACAAUAACAAGAAAAAAAAAUAAAAAAAAUAAAAUAAAAUAAUUAAAAUAAAAAUAAAACAAAAAGAAACAAAAAAAAGCAAAAUAUAAAAUAAAAGAAUUAAUUGAAUUUAAUUUCAUUUUAUUUUUUUCCUUUUAUAUUUUGCUUUUUUAUUUUGUUUUAUUUUUAUUUUAAUUAUUAUUUUUUUUUUUUUUUUUUUUUUCCCUUAUUGACUAUUUUUCUAAGCUAAUGUGGAAAAAUAUAACUUGCUUCUUUUUUUUUUUUUCUUUUCUGAAGGGAGAAAAAAAAGAAAAAUAUGAAAGAUACAUUUAUUUAAUUUACUGAGGAUUGUGAAAAUUAUAUUAAUUGUAUAUGAUGCGAAAUAAUAUAAUUUAAGAUGUUUUUAUAAAGUACUUUUUUAACCCACUCGUCUUGAAACACGGACCAAGGAGUCUAACAAAUGUGCAAGUGUAUAUGAUAAGAAUAAACAUAGUAUAAAAAUUUCUACGCAUAAUUAAUGUAACAAAAAUAUAUGUUUAUUAAUUGUAGAUUUUGUGGGGUUUUAAAUUUUUUUUAUAAAUCCACACAAAUGCAUACAAUACCGGUGAGCAAUUAUGCUUUAUUGAGUAAGAGCAUACUUGUUAGGACCCGAGAGGCUUUGAACUAAACGUGAUGAGAUUGAAGUCAGAGUAAAAUCUGAUGGAGGAUCGAGUUGAUACUGACGUGCAAAUCGUUCAUUUCAAUUGCGUUUAGGGGCGAAAGACUAAUCGAAAAGCCUAUUAGCUGGUUAUUUUCGAAAGAUCUCUCAGGAUCGCUGGAGUUGAUUAUAAUAUAGUUUUACCUGGUAGAAAUAAUGAUUAGAGGAUUCAAGGAGAUGAUAAUUCCUUGACCUAUAUAUAUCGAAAGAUUCAAUAGGUAAAAAAAUGAGGAAAUAACUUUAUUGUAUUUUCAUUCAUAUUUAAAAAUAAGAUAACUCCAAGUUGGCCAUUUUUGGUAAGCAGAACUGGCGAUGAGGGAUGCUCCUAACGCUUGGAUAAGGUGCCUAAAUAUCCGCUCAUUAGAUACCAUUAAAAAGGUGUUGGUUUGUGAUUACAGUAGGACGGUAUUCAUAGAAGUUGAAAUCCGCUAGGAAGUGUGUAACAACUUACCUACCUAAUAAACUCGCCCUGAAAAUGGAUGGCGCUAAAGCGGAUUACCGAUACCAAGCCAUAAAAAAGAAAAAAAAAAAAAAUUCAAUAUUUUUUUUAUUUUUUUAGAUUCUUUUUAUGAGUAGAAAAUCGUGGGGUUUUGUGUUGAAGCGAAAUACGUGAGUUUUCGUGGAACAUCUCCCUAGUGCAGAUCUUGGUGGAAGUAGCAAAUAUUCUUAUGAGAACUUUGAAGACUGAAGUGGAGAAGGGUUUUUUGUAAACUAUGUUUGAGCAAAAGUUAGCCGUUCCUAAGAGAUAGCUGAAAAGCGUUAUAAAUUGAGGUUACCUAUUAUAUGAAAAGUAUAGUAGUGUUUUUUCUCUUCUCGAAAGGGAAGCAGGUUGAUAUUCCUGCGCCAUAUGUAAUAAGAACUAAUAAAUAGAGAUGGUAACAUAUAUAUAAAUAAAUGAACUCCUUAACAUAGGCCUUACGCUUGGAGUGCGUUAUCUUUGCACUUUAACUUUAUAUCAAACCUUCGAAAUCGAUUUACUUGUAGAAAAGGUUCGAUGAAUUUACAAUAAGCAAUUUAUUUAUUAUAUGCGUGGACCGGUACACAUGAUAUAUAUAUUAAUGAAUUGUUUUGUAGUAAUAGUAAUUCGUUUGUUGUACGAAUUAUCCAAAGUUGUAUGGACUAUCCAUGAAAAAAGGAGGGAACACUAAAUUAAAUGGGAAUGUAUAAAAUACUAUAAAAGUAUGAAAGAAGAAAAAGUAAAGAAAGGAAAGAAAAAAAAAUAUUAACCUUCAGCUUUUUUUUCUAUUUUUUUUUUCUUUUUUUGCUUUCAUAUAUUUUUAUAGUGUUUUUACAUUAACCAUUUUUUUUUUUAUAUUCUUAAAUUACAAUUAUAAAAAUGAACGUACCAAUAACCGCAUCAGGUCUCCAAGGUUAGUAGCCUCUGGUUAAAUAGAAAAACGUAGGUAAGGGAAGUAAGCAAAUUAGAUCCGUAACUUCGGGAAAAGGAUUGGCUCUGAUAACACAAAAUGAGAAGAAAAAAAUGAAAAGAAAAAAAUGAAAAGAAAAAAAUGAAAAGAAUUGUGGUUGAAAAUAAAAAUGUUAAGAUGUUUAUUUAUAUAUUUAUAUUAGUUUUUCUUAUAUUUUAAGAUUAAUUAAUUAAUUAUAUAUUUAAUAUGUUAAAAUGUUUUAUAUUUCUUCUUCUACUCUAUUCUAUUCCAUUCUAUUCUAUUCUAUUUUUUUUUUUCUCUUUCUCUUCGAUAUUACAUAUAUUUUGUUAUUAUAAUAAAAAUUAUGUAAUAUUGUUUAGCUGUGUUUAUUCAGAACUGAAACGGACAAGGGGAAUCCGACUGUUUAAUAAAAACAUAGCAUUGUGAAAAGCUAUAACUGGUAUUAACACAAUGUGAUUUCUGCCCAGUGCUUUGAAUGUCAAGUUGAUGAAAAUUUCAAUUAAGCGCAGGUAAACGGCGGGAGUAACUAUUAUGACUCUCUUAAGGUAGCCAAAAAUGUAUGGUCGAUAAAAAGGACCAUCAGGAAUGGAUUAACGAGAUUCCUACUGUCCCUACUUGCGAUCUAGCGAAACCACAACCAAGGGAAAGGGCUUGGUAAAAUCAGCAGGGAAAGAAGACCCUGUUGUGCUUUACUCUAGUCUGACUUUGUAAAAAGAUUUAAGAGGUAUAGUAUAAGUGGUAGUAGAAAUUGAAAUAAUGUUUUUACGUCAGUGAAAUACCACUACUUUUAAAAAGUUUUUACUAAUCCAUUUAUCUAGUGAAUGACUAUUAUAUAAAUAUAUAUAUAUAUAUAUUUUCUAUAUUUUAUGUGUAUCACUUUUUAUGGAGACAGAGUCAGGUGGGGAGUUUGACUAAGGUGGUACAUCUGUUAAAAAAUAACGCAGAUGUCCAAAGAUAAGCUCAAGGAGAACAGAAAUCUCUUGUAGACUAAAAGGGGAAAAGCUUGUUUGAUUUCUAUUUUCAGAAAGAAUAGAAAACGUGAAAGCGUGGCCUAUCGAUCCUUUAUAUUUGCAAAAUGACGUAAAAUUAUUUACUACUGUGCAUAUAAAGGUGUCUGAAAAGUUACCACAGGGAUAACUUGUUUGUGGCUGCUUAGCGAUAUUAGCAACGUGGCUUUUUGUAUUUUCGAUUACGGCUCUUCCUAUCAUUGGGACGCAGAAGUCUCAAAGUGUCGGAUUGUUCACCCGCUAAUAGGGAACGUGAGCUGGGUUUAGACCGUCGUGAGACAGGUUAGUUUUACCCUACUGAUGAAUAUUAUUAUAUUAUUAUAUAUAUAUAUAGUAUUGUGACAGUAAUCCAACUUGGUACGAGAGGAUUAGUUGGUUCAGACAAUUGGUACAGCAAUUGGGUUGAUAAACCAGUGUUGCGAAGCUACGUCUGUUGGAUAAUGACUGAACGAUUCUAAAGUCAGAACCCAUACUGAUUAAACAAUAAUAUAAUUGUAUAUUUUUGUCAUAAGGUUGUGUUUUAUUUUUUUUUAUUGCUAAUGUAAAAGAGAAAUUUAAUAUAUGCGUUAAUCUAUAUAUAUUAUGUAUAGAUUUUCAUAAACAUAUAAAUAAUCCCAUAAAGACGUAUCUUUUUUUUUUCUAAACAAAGAAAAAUAUGUUCUUUUUAUUGUAAUUUAACAACAAAAAUAAUCUAAAGUAUAUUGUAGACGACAUUUUUAGCCUCAGAGUGCUGUAAACAUGUGAGCAAACUUGUUUUGCGAACUGUUCAGGCUUAUCUCUUGUGGUUUUUGCUUUU
rnacentral:rRNA from 1 species